rnacentral:ncRNA from 1 species
UGUCUCCUCCACCUUCCGAAAGGGUGGAUUCGGCCCAAGGCAGCAAUGCCUUGGGCUCUUUUC